CGCGUAGGCGGGAUGGCAAGUCGGUCGUGAAAUCCCUCGGCUCAACCGAGGAGCGUCGAUCGAAACUGCCGUUCUUGAGGGUUGCAGAGGAGACUGGAAUUCCCGGUGUAGCGGUGAAAUGUGUAGAGAUCGGGAGGAACACCGGUGGCGAAGGCGGGUCUCUGGGCAAUUCCUGACGCUGAGGCGCGAAAGCGUGGGGAGCAAACGGGAUUAGAUACCCCGGUAGUCCACGCUGUAAACGAUGACGACUAGGUGUGGGGGGGUUCAGUCCCUUCCGUGCCGCAGCUAACGCAUUAAGUCGUCCGCCUGGGGAGUACGGCCGCAAGGUUGAA
rnacentral:rRNA from 1 species